rnacentral:lncRNA from 1 species
GACAAUGUGAUCUAUCCUAAAAUAGUAAAAUGCCAGUAGAGUUCCUCCACAGUCUGCGCUAAAGACAUGUUAGUAUGAAUUUUAUUGGUACAGAAUAUAUUUUAAGAUAACAGCUCAAAUUACUCAUUCAGUGCUCUAUUCUGAAGAAGCACUUGAAGAGGCGCCAUAAUUACCACGGCCACCAUUACCAUUACGGUGACCACCAGAUUCAUGACCCUGAACGUCCUCUCAGAUCAAAGCAUGAUCAGAUGAAGGUGCCUCGUUGCUCAUGGAGCGGCCAUUUGGUUAAAGCUCCUCGAAUAACAGUUUGGUGGUUAAGGCUGGAAGGGUUUGAGGAUGCAAAACCAAAUUCUUUUAAGGCAUACUUUGAUGCAGUGCAAACACUGUAUGCAUAGGCUAGCAUAUUUAGUGUCGUGUCACCUGAUCUCAAGCACUUAAGGGUAUUGGUUUUAUAAUCAUUUCGCAAUGAGUUUCCAAAUUCCACAGGGAAUUUGAAAUACCUUAAACAUCUGGAUAUCUCAAAUGUCAAUGACACAAGAGCU